rnacentral:rRNA from 1 species
GACGAACGCUGGCGGCGUGCUUAACACAUGCAAGUCGAACGGAAAGGCCCUGCUUUUGUGGAGUGCUCGAGUGGCGAACGGGUGAGUAACACGUGAGUAACCUGCCCUUGACUUUGGGAUAACUUCAGGAAACUGGGGCUAAUACCGGAUAGGAGCUCCUGCUGCAUGGUGGGGGUUGGAAAGUUUCGGCGGUUGGGGAUGGACUCGCGGCUUAUCAGCUUGUUGGUGGGGUAGUGGCUUACCAAGGCUUUGACGGGUAGCCGGCCUGAGAGGGUGACCGGCCACAUUGGGACUGAGAUACGGCCCAGACUCCUACGGGAGGCAGCAGUGGGGAAUAUUGCACAAUGGGCGGAAGCCUGAUGCGGCAACGCCGCGUGCGGGAUGACGGCCUUCGGGUUGUAAACCGCUUUCGCCUGUGACGAAGCGUGAGUGACGGUAAUGGGUAAAGAAGCACCGGCUAACUACGUG